UAUUCUACCGGUUCGUGUGUUUGUCACAUUUUGCAAAGUGUUCUUAUUGGAAUUUAGUGAAAAAUAAAGAAAAUUCUAUUAAAUUUUAUUAAAAUUGAAGUAAAGUAUAAUUAAAACUUAAUUAAACAUUAAACAAAUGUUGGACUAAUAAAAACUUAUCAAAUAAAGCUUAAUACCUAUUAAAUUGGAUUAUCAACAUAUUUUACCGAACUAAUUCUGAUAAUAUUCGAGUACUUCAUCAUUUUUUUAGUUAAGAAUCGCCUUAAGUCCACCGACUGCAAUGGAUAAGAGGAUAAUGAAUGCACAAUUUAGUAAGU